AACAAAGAAUAAACCAUCUUAUCUUUAUUUGUUCUGUUACACCCUGCAUAGUGAAGAGAAAUAAAGUGAAAUUAGAUCAUUUUCAAUGUGUUGUUUGAAGUCAAAAUAAAAUGCAGUAUCAUACUUGCACUGUUAGGAAAUACUUUUUGUUAUUGCUCCUGCUGCAGCUUCACAUCAUUUCUUUUCUUUGUGUUUCAAAUUGAACUGUUUUGCGGGCCUUGAGUCAGUAUAACAAUAUUUUUUGAAAAAAUUCUAGAUUAACACCUGCAAAAUACAGGAGAGGCAAACAAGAGGACCAAACAAGAGUAAGUGUAUUAAGGAGUUAGCAAUUUAAUUUAUUUUAUUAUUUUAUAUGUUUCUCCAUAGUCUGAGCCUGCCUAAUAAAAUUACUCCUGAAUUUCUGCACUUUAAGAAUCUAGUAUUAUUUAAAUCUCAGUUUUCUGUCUCAAUAACUGACUGAAAUGAAGAAAAAAUCUGGUCCCACUCUUUUUAUAUCUAUUUUGAAAGUUUAAGUACGAUAAAUUUCACAGGAAAAAAAAAUUGGCAAAAAUAAAACAAUAUUUUGAGACAUCCUGCUAUUUUUCAGAAAGUUCUUAGGCAAUCUCCCAGUUAAAGAAGUUGCUCUAGAAGAACUCAUACCAAUAUUCCUACCUGACCACAUCUUCAAAAUGUCCUUCUUUUAUCCCGCCACAUGUGAUAAAAUCACCUCAAAAUUUAAUAUUAGAGGAUGAGUUCCUUUUGUUCAAUUUCCAAGUGUCCUAACUGCAAUUCUAUCCCAUUUGUGGGUAGCAGAAUGAGGACAUGAACGCUGCCCCGUUCCCCACACUCGCUCUUCCGCCUCUCCUUGCACAGAGCUCUAUAAUAAAUGAGGAAUGCACAAUCAGGCCUGGGGUUCCCAUCUGCUUGUGAUUACCUCUAUGCACUUGCCUGGAAGACAACACUGGAAAGUCACUGAAAAGCAGGGCAAUUUCUUCGUCAUUAGUUUGUAAGAAUCGUGGCUGCCCUGAUAUGAUUUAGAACAUGAACACCAUGACCUAAAUGUUCUCAGAGGGUAAUAGUCUCACUGCUCUGUCCCUUUUGGGGAACUCCCAGGUUAUUUUCCGAGAAAGAGUGAAUGCUUCUGAAAGGUAAUAGUUCAAAGUACAAGCUUUAGUACACAUCUGAACUCUUGAAUGCAUGUCAAGCUAACCUAAAAAAUUGAGAAGUUCUAUCAUAUCCUAUUAGUGAACACUGAUCAUGUCUGACACUACUGAGGAGAGAGUUAAAGUUUAGAGACUUCCAGGAGGUGAUGUCCAUACACUGGCAGAGAUAUCACACAAGCUGGUCUCUGCAAGGACAGGUCUCCCAGGUGAGGGUGGGAGGCAGAAGCUGCAGGUGCACGAGCCAGAGGAGCAGUAUGAGCUCAUAUCCUAAGAAAAAUGGCUCAGGUUAAAAUUGGAGACAUGCAUUUGAACAUAUCAUCUAGGUAAGGAGAUCCUGGGGUAGGAAACAGGACCAGAGUGAAGAGUCAUCUCCUUUUGACCAUCAGACCUGCCAUGCACUGCCGCCUGAACAAGAGUGUGCAACAGGGAAGAAAAGUGGAAGCUAAAAUCCAGCACCAGCUCUGCUCUUGAAGUUGUGUAGC
rnacentral:lncRNA from 1 species